UCUGGUUUGUUAUAAUCCGACAAUAAAUACCGUAAAAAAAAAAAAUGUUUUGGAAAAUUUGUUUAUUUUAUUGAAAUAAAAAAUGUACGUGACUCAGUUUAUAUGUAUAAUUCUUUUACAAACAAAUGUAUUUAUACUUUUCUGUGACAUCUUUGUGGGAACCUCCGCCGUGCGAUAAUGUGGCUAACUGAGAAAGUUGUUGUCUAAAAUUUGAGGCCAUUUUUGACGCAAAAAUUAUUCGAAACUAAAGUGGUUGGAACAAUUUGC
rnacentral:lncRNA from 1 species